rnacentral:rRNA from 1 species
GAUAAACGCUGGCGGCGUGCCUAACACAUGCAAGUCGAACGCCCUUUUGCGCAAGUGAGAGGGAGUGGCGGACGGGUGAGUACCACGUGGGUACCUACCUUGAGGUGAGGAAUACCACCGAGAAAUCGGUGACAAGACCGCAUACGCUUGGCAACAAGCAAAGUCUCGCAAGAGACGCCACAAGAUGGGCCUGCGCCUGAUUAGCUAGUUGGUGAGGUAAUGGCNCACCAAGGCGACGAUCAGUAGCUGGUCUGAGAGGAUGAUCAGCCACACUGGGAUUGAGAACGGCCCAGACUCCUACGGGGGGCAGCAGUGAGGAAUUUUCGUCAAUGGGGGCAACCCUGAACGAGCAACGCCGCGUGCAGGACGACACUUUUCGGAG